GAAUUGUAUGGAAAAAAAAUAUCCUACUACCGCGAAGCAUUGUGCUGUGACGAUUUCGAAACGGUAGAUGGAAUUUGCAUAGUAUGUACGAUUGGCUUUUUAUCAUCGAAAGGACAUACAUGUUAUCCUUGUCAGUCAUAUGUGAACAGAUGUGUGAGUUGGUGUCGUUGCAAAGAAAAUCAACGAUGCCACACUGUAUAUGGAUGCAUAGAAGAUGAUCAGUUUUACAAAGAAAUUGACAGCACACAUGGCGACACUGCGACAAGGCUGCCAAUAGAACACAGUGCUCCAACAUUAGGGAUGGAAACAGCAUCUUCCAUGAAUGCAUGUUUAGGUAUGAUAAAAACGGAAGUGUUUAUUUAUUCAUUGCUUGGAUUCAGCACUUUUCUCAUCCUUUGCUUUAGUAUUGGUUGCUUUUGUGUACAUACAAAAUAUCACAAAGCAUUCUUUUACCGACAUUCAGAAAUUGACCAAAACAUAGGUGUUAACAAUCGCAUAUAUGAAGUAGACAAUAACGUUGAAAUAGGCCAACACGUUUUAAGAGAAAGCGCACAUAGUAAUGAAUACGUAGAAAUGCAGGAUAUGCAGUAAGUUGUCAGAUGGUUAUUUCAUUUCAGCCAUAUCACUCUAUUUUGCAGCAGUCUUAAAACUCAGCCAUAUUGUGAAGAAUAUAAUCAUUCUUAUUAAGGGAACAAACAGUACACAAAUUUGCAUAAAUCUCUUGAAUCUAACUAAUUAUGAUUAUAUGCAAUGUGUCACAGUGUACACAAUGGAGUCGUAUAGAAAACGUUAAGUGUUUAAUGAUUUUAUAGACAACGUGUGUGUGUGUCUACGUGUUUGUGUGUGUAAGGGUGUAUGUGUGUUUGUUUGUGCAAAUUAGUUGGUUUUCUUCUACUCUUCAAUUUUGAAUUGUAACUACAUCAUGUUUUAUUUAUUUUUUUUCCCGUAUUUUGUAUUUGUAUUAAUUAACUUUGUUAAUUCUGUAGUGGUAAUUUGAAUAUUUUUUGUUGUUGAAAUAUUUGAGUUUCAACAUAUAGGGUCAGCCACCCUUUCUUUGUUCGAUAUGGACGUUCUAAACAAUGACUUCAACAACAUUCGUGAGGAGGAUAGUUAAUUUUGGAUUCCCCUAAUUGGAGAGCAUACAUGGACACCUUUUCACAAUAUCAUUGGAAGUUGUUCACUCCAUCUUCGUUUAUUUUUUAUAUGGGAUUAGUUUUUCUAUGAUUGUAAAAAGUUUUUCCGAGAUAAACAUUUGUUCUGUUAUGGUUGUGGUCUGUUUCUCGCAAGGCGCUGUAUUUCUAGUAUCACACUGAAUUACCUGUGUGUUUUCUGACCUGGCUAUUUAACUAGUGGUUAUAUUUCGACACAUAUGUUAAAGAAUUCAAAGAUUUCCCAUGCUGUUUAUCCAAAUAUAAUCUAAAACUAGUGCACUUAGAUAUUCUGGUUGGUACAUUAUUGUAUAUUUUAGUUCCAACCUUAAAUUAUGUUUGUUUGUUUAUUUUUUCAUGUUUUUUUAUACCAAGCUUAAAAGAAAAACAUCUUUUGAAAUUGAAAUAACGGUGAAAACUUUUAACGUAGAGAAUCUUUAGUUUUCAAUUUUUGUCAAUGCCAGUUACAAGGCAAUUAUAUUCCUAGCAUACCUAUCGUAACUAGCAGCAUCGCCAAAACAGAUUAUUUUUAGAAUAUAAUCAUUACGUAAAUGUUGCGACUCCCUCAUCCAGACUUGACUAUGCCAUGCAAUGCAUAUGGAAGAAAUCGUUAAUAUGUUUCUUACACAUGCAUUUAAUGAUAUGUGGGAUACGCAGAUGAGAGCAACCAAACGAUACAAAAACCAGAAGACAUUUAGAGUUCAAACAAGCACAAAUGUCUAUAUGAUAUGUCACAAUCAAGAAAAAUGAGAAGAAAUUCAAGAGACAAAAAGAGACCUGCGUGCAAAACCAAACGAUCCAAAUGACAAACACUCUCCUCUCAAUCCUCCUAUUGUUUAAUCUCGAUCAAUUGUAUAUCAAAACGCAUACAUAGAUGAACAAUACAGAUUACAAACAAGGUUCAUUGUCUUGCAAUUGUGUUUUUGUUAUUUAUUGGUUGCUGUCUGUUUUUUUGUUUAUACGACCUACUCCCUCAAAAGGAAAACUGUAUACUAUAGACGAAUAUGCAUUAAAACAAUUUUCAACUAUAAGAAAUCGAAAGGGAGCUCUGAAAAUAUGCUUAUCUGAUGAGAUAAAUCCUAUUCUACUGAUUUUUAUAGUUUGUUCUUAUGUCCUACUGUUACACCUAUGUCCCAGGUUAGGGAUGGGUUUGGCGCCAACAAACUAGUUCAACCCCGCCAUAUUCUCUAUGUACCUGUCCCAAGUCAGGAGCCUGUAAUUCAGUGGUUGUCGUUUGUUGCUGUAUAUCAUAUUUGUUUUUCGUUCAUUAUUUUGUACAUAAAUCAGGUCGUUAGUUUUCUCGUUUGAAUUGUUUUACAUUUGUAAAUUCGGGGCCUUUUAUAGCUGACUUUACGUUUCCAUGACCUUAGUUGUAAACUUCUCUCACAUUUGGUCUCUGGUGGAGAGUGGUCUCAUUGGCAAUCAUACGACAUCUUCUUAUUUUUUAUAUCUAGAUUUUUUGAAAAUUUACACAUGGCCUGGGCCGUGAUAUUAUUUCGAUUCUAAUAGGACAAAUAUUGUAAUUAAAAAAAAAAAAUAAAACUGAAGCGAGGGUGGGUAUGUCGUGUGUGUGGGUGUUCUAUUUUACCCAAUGUUUGAUAAAGCUGAACAUGUCAAAUAAAUCUAUAGCUUGCAUGAAUUAUUUCUCAAAUAAACGAUAGAAAAAAUGUGUUUAAUUCUUUUAAAUCUGAAUCCUAACAUUUGUUAUUUUUACUUUACAUUUAUUUUCUCGUAAGCUACCGUGAAAUCCACAGUUGACAUUUCGUAACUAAGGAGCAGCCAUGUUGACUUGCUGAAAUCAGUGAAUGUGCGAAUAAUGCAAUAGAAUAGAAAAUAAAACAUCAACUACCUCAAGACUCCAUUUUAAUGAAUAUUUUCCGAAUUUGGCGGGUUCACGUAAAGGAAAAACCUUCAGCUUUGGUAUUUUCAUUCGUAUGACGUCAUGUUUUGAAAUGACUUCAAGGCGCCAAAUUCAUUAAUGGAAUUUCGCGGAAUUUUAUUUUAUUUUGAUUUUGUACAU